UACGUAGGGGGCUAGCGUUGUCCGGAAUCAUUGGGCGUAAAGAGCGCGUAGGCGGCUCGGUAAGUCCGCUGUGAAAGUCAAAGGCUCAACCGUUGAAAGCCGGUGGAUACUGUGAGGCUAGAGUACGGAAGAGGCGAGUGGAAUUCCUGGUGUAGCGGUGGAAUGCGCAGAUAUCAGGAGGAACACCAAUAGCGAAGGCAGCUCGCUGGGACGUUACUGACACUGAGGCGCGAAAGCGUGGGGAGCGAACAGG
rnacentral:rRNA from 1 species